rnacentral:rRNA from 1 species
CAUGUAGUUAGCCGGGGCUUCUUACUCAGGUACCGUCAUUUUCUUCCCUGCUGAUAGAAGUUUACAUACCGAAAUACUUCUUCCUUCACGCGGCGUCGCUGCAUCAGGGUUUCCCCCAUUGUGCAAUAUUCCCCACUGCUGCCUCCCGUAGGAGUUUGGGCCGUGUCUCAGUCCCAAUGUGGCCGGUCACCCUCUCAGGUCGGCUACUGAUCGUCGCCUUGGUAGGCCGUUACCCCACCAACCAGCUAAUCAGACGCGGGUCCAUCUCGUACCACCUCAGUUUUUCACACAAUACCAUGCAGUAUCGUGCGCUUAUGCGGUAUUAGCAGUCGUUUCCAACUGUUGUCCCCCUGUACGAGGCAGGUUACCCACGCGUUACUCACCCGUCCGCCACUCAGUCACCAUUUCCCUCCUCCGAAGAUUCGUUCCAUGCUGCUUCGUUCGACUUGCAUGUGUUAAGCACCGGCCGCCAGCCGUUCACUCCUGACGCCAGGAUCAAACUCU